UACAGAGGGUGCGAGCGUUGUCCGGAAUCACUGGGCGUAAAGGGCGCGUAGGUGGCGACCCAAGUCGAUGGUGAAAGCUCGCCGCUCAACGGCGAGUCGGCCACCGAUACUGGGUUGCUGGAGCACUGUAGAGGCAGAUGGAAUUCCGGGUGUAGCGGUGGAAUGCGUAGAUAUCAGGAGGAACACCAGCGGUGUAGACGGCUUUCUGGGACCAUUGCUGACGCUGAGACACGAAAGCGUGGGUAGCAAACAGG
rnacentral:rRNA from 1 species